CUAGGCCAUUUGCAGCCCGGCAUCACGCCACAGGCGAAGGUUGAAAAAGGGAACACGGUGCGACGUACCCAUCAGGGCGCAAAACCGUGGCUGCCCCCGCAACUGUAAGCGGUGGGCCCUCUCAAUAGGCCACUGAUCCUUGAUGGGUCGGGAAGGCGAGGGGGCUGCAAUCACCGCGAGCCAGGAGACCUGCCGGCACACGAGUCGGGCG
rnacentral:ncRNA from 2 species